CAGGAAGUCCAGGUACUUGGUUCAGUGUCUCGCAUGGCAUCACUUCAUGAUAUUUCUAAGUGGAGCAUUACCACAGCUGACACCUUGGCAGCUCUCAUGAAAGCUGAAGAUGGAGCUUGGAAGGCAGCAAAGAGCAAAGAAAUCAUCACCAAGUAUCUGAGUACCUCUGGAAGUCCCUAGACAGCAUUGAGCUGAACAUGAUUGACUCCAACCUGUGCUCAUUAAACACCAGUACGCUGAAGACCAUCAGCCCAGACAGUAUCAGAAAUGCAAACCCUCUGAAUGUAGCAUCAUGUUCAGCUGAGCAAAGGAGAGUCCUGUAUGAGAUCAGUAAUGCUGCCUUCCGCUCACAAACUGGCAAUCCCAGCAUCUUUUACGGUCUAAUAAAGUCCUGUUUAGUUAA